CCGAACCCACGAGCGUUGAAAAGCUCGGGGAUGACUUGUGGGUAGCGGUGAAAUUCCAAUCGAGCCCGGAGAUAGCUGGUUCUCCCCGAAAUAGCUUUAGGGCUAGCCUCAAGGUGAGAGAUACGGAGGUAGAGCACUGAAUGUCCUAGGGGGUAUUGCACUUACCGAAGACUAUCAAACUCCGAAUGCCGUCAUCUUAUACUUGGGAGUCAGACUGUGGGUGAUAAGAUUCAUAGUCGAAAGGGCAACAGCCCAGAUCGUCAGCUAAGGUCCCUAAAUGUAAGUUAAGUGGUAAAGGAUGUGGGAUUGCACAGACAACCAGGAUGUUGGCUUAGAAGCAGCCACUCAUUCAAAGAGUGCGUAAUAGCUCACUGGUCGAGUGAUCCUGCGCCGAAGAUUUCCGGGGCUAAAACUUACUACCGAAGCUACGGCAUCAGUAAUGAUGGGUAGGGGAGCUUCCCAUACGGGUUGAAGCAUGACCGUAAGGACAUGUGGACAGUAUGGGAGUGAGAAUGUUGGCAUGAGUAGCGAGAUGUGGGUGAGAAUCCCACAGGCCGUAAACCCAAGGUUUCCAGGGGAAGGUUCGUCCGCCCUGGGUUAGUCGGGACCUAAGCUGAGGCCGAAAGGCGUAGGUGAUGGACAACAGGUUGAUAUUCCUGUACUAUCGAUAACCGUUUGAGAGAAGGGAUGACACAGUAGGAUAAGCUAAGCACACUGUUGGUUAUGUGUGCCCAAGCAUUGAGGCAGUCAAAGUAGGCAAAUCCGCUUUGAUAAUGCUGGGAUGUGAUGGGGAGCGAAAUUUAGUAGCGAAGUAGCUGAUUUCACACUGUCAAGAAAAGUCUCUAUCGAGGUUAAAGGUACCCGUACCGCAAACCGACACAGGUGGGUGAGGAGAGUAUCCUAAGGCCAGCGAGAGAACUGUUGUUAAGGAACUCGGCAAAAUGACCCCGUAACUUAGGGAUAAGGGGUGCCACCAUCAGGUGGCCGCAGAGAAUAGGCCCAAGCGACUGUUUACCAAAAACAUAGGUUUCUGCUAAGUCGCAAGACGAUGUAUAGGAGCUGACGCCUGCCCGGUGCUGGAAGGUUAAGGGGAUCUGUUAGAGCAAUCGAAGCAGUGAACUUAAGCCCCAGUAAACGGCGGCCGUAACUAUAACGGUCCUAAGGUAGCGAAAUUCCUUGUCGGGUAAGUUCCGACCCGCACGAAAGGCGUAACGAUUUGGGCACUGUCUCAACAACAGACUCGGUGAAAUUGUAAUUCCGGUGAAGAUGCCGGAUACCUGCGACAGGACGGAAAGACCCCAUGGAGCUUUACUGUAGCUUGACAUUGGGUCUUGGUACUACAUGUACAGGAUAGGUGGGAGGCUUUGAAACCAGGACGCCAGUUUUGGCGGAGCCAUCCUUGGGAUACCACCCUUGUAGUACUGGGACUCUAACCAUAGGCCAUGAAUCUGGUCUUGGGACACUGUCAGGUGGGCAGUUUGACUGGGGCGGUCGCCUCCCAAAAGGUAACGGAGGCGCUCAAAGGUUCUCUCAGUACGGUCGGAAAUCGUACGUAGAGUGUAAAGGCAAAAGAGAGCUUGAUUGCAAGACAUACAGGUCGAGCAAGGAUGAAAAUCGGACUUAGUGAUCCGGUGGUUCUGCGUGGAAGGGCCAUCGCUCAACGGAUAAAAGCUACCCUGGGGAUAACAGGCUUAUCUCCCCCAAGAGUCCACAUCGACGGGGAGGUUUGGCACCUCGAUGUCGGCUCAUCACAUCCUGGGGCUGUAGUAGGUCCCAAGGGUUGGGCUGUUCGCCCAUUAAAGUGGUACGCGAGCUGGGUUCAGAACGUCGUGAGACAGUUCGGUCCCUAUCCGUCGCAGGCGUAGGAAAUUUGAGAAGACCUGUCCUUAGUACGAGAGGACCGGGAUGGACGUACCUCUGGUGUACCAGUUGUCCUGCCAAGGGCAUGGCUGGGUAGCUAUGUACGGAAUGGAUAAGCGCUGAAAGCAUCUAAGCGCGAAGCCAACUUCAAGAUAAGAUUUCCCACCGCAAGGGUAAGACCCCAGAAAGACUAUCUGGUUGAUAGGUCGAAGGUGUAAGUGCAGCAAUGUAUUUAGCUUAUCGAUACUAAUAGGUCGAGGACUUGACCAA
rnacentral:rRNA from 1 species